UCUAGACCAAAGCGGAUGUUCCUCACUACGCUGGUGCACAGAGUCUAUUGCGACUUUCCUUACUGAGGAGUUGGCAACACUGGUUAAACAUUCAACUUACAGGGAUAUAAAGAGUCUCCCAGUGAGCAAGCAGGAGGAAGAUUUGCAAGAGCCAAGUACGAUGGCCGUGCUCUGUCAGUGAAUAAAGUAGCUGGAGAGGAGUACUUGUAGACAAUGAAGACAGAAGGAGGGCAGCUCCAAGCCCUGCUGACCUCACCGUAGCUUGGCCACAGCUACACAGGAGCUGAGGGAGAAAGACAGAAGUGAGAAGGGUGGAGAUGGAGGAGUGGGCCUCCUUCACACCUCCCAAACAAACACUGCAAGGCCGCCACCAAGAUGACGCCACCAUCCGAUCAAAGCAGUUUGUUUUCGUGUUGAUUAUUUCUCCUUCUCCUCCUCCCCCUUCUUUCGCUGUUAAUAAUAAAACACCCACCAGGGCCCUAAACACAUA